rnacentral:rRNA from 1 species
AUGAAAUCCUUCGGGAUGGAUUAGCGGCGGACGGGUGAGUAACACGUGGGUAACCUGCCUCAAAGUGGGGGAUAGCCUCCCGAAAGGGAGAUUAAUACCGCAUAACAUUAGUUUUUCGCAUGAAGAACUAAUUAAAGGAGUAAUCCGCUUUGAGAUGGACCCGCGGCGCAUUAGCUAGUUGGUGAGGUAAAGGCUCACCAAGGCGACGAUGCGUAGCCGACCUGAGAGGGUGAUCGGCCACAUUGGAACUGAGACACGGUCCAGACUCCUACGGGAGGCAGCAGUGGGGAAUAUUGCACAAUGGGCGAAAGCCUGAUGCAGCAACGCCGCGUGAGUGAUGAAGGCCUUCGGGUUGUAAAGCUCUGUCUUUUGGGACGAUAAUGACGGUACCAAAGGAGGAAGCCACGGCUAACUACGUGCCAGCAGCCGCGGUAAUACGUAGGUGGCGAGCGUUGUCCGGAUUUACUGGGCGUAAAGGAUGCGUAGGCGGAUAUUUAAGUGAGAUGUGAAAUACCCGAGCUUAACUUGGGUGCUGCAUUUCAAACUGGAUAUCUAGAGUGCGGGAGAGGAGAAUGGAAUUCCUAGUGUAGCGGUGAAAUGCGUAGAGAUUAGGAAGAACACCAGUGGCGAAGGCGAUUCUCUGGACCGUAACUGACGCUGAGGCAUGAAAGCGUGGGUAGCAAACAGGAUUAGAUACCCUGGUAGUCCACGCCGUAAACGAUGAGUACUAGGUGUAGGAGGUAUCGACUCCUUCUGUGCCGCAGUUAACACAAUAAGUACUCCGCCUGGGAAGUACGAUCGCAAGAUUAAAACUCAAAGGAAUUGAC